AGAAGUGCUGCAGCACAAUCUCGACAAGAUUAAACAGGAAAAAGAUAAGAUUGCACAGGAAAAA